UGAGUAAUGCGUCGGAACGCGCCGAGUAGUGGGGGAUAACGUAGCGAAAGCUGUGCUAAUACCGCAUACGUACUGAGGUAGAAAGUGGGGGACCUUCGGGCCUCACGCUAUUCGAGCGGCCGACGUCUGAUUAGCUAGUUGGUGGGGUAAAGGCCCACCAAGGCGACGAUCAGUAGCGGGUCUGAGAGGAUGAUCCGCCACACUGGGACUGAGACACGGCCCAGACUCCUACGGGAGGCAGCAGUGGGGAAUUUUGGACAAUGGGCGCAAGCCUGAUCCAGCCACGCCGCGUGUCUGAAGAAGGCCUU
rnacentral:rRNA from 1 species